GUCGGGAUAGCUCAGCUGGUAGAGCAGAGGACGGACUGAAAA
rnacentral:tRNA from 1 species